GUAGGUGAACCUGCGGAAGGAUCAUUAUCACGUUAUCCACGUUAUUACCAACCGUGAACUGUUCGGUCCACAUGAGAGUUAAUUCUCUUGUGUGUUAGACCAAAACCCCAUUGGAUGGUCGCCCUCUCAGGAGUGCCGCUUCCUUUGGGUGAUUUGAACCAUUAACCAAUUGAACCAUUAAAUUCAUAUACUUUUAUGUACUUACAAGUUGUUUCUUACCUUUGUUAAUUCAGAGGAAGAAAUGUUAUAA
rnacentral:misc_RNA from 1 species